GGGCCCGUGGCCUAGCCAGGAUUAAGGCACCGGCCUCCGGAGCCGGAGAUCCCGGGUUCAAAUCCCGGCGGGCCCGCCA
rnacentral:tRNA from 1 species